rnacentral:rRNA from 1 species
UACAGAGGUCUCAAGCGUUGUUCGGAUUCAUUGGGCGUAAAGGGUGUGUAGGUGGCGCGUAAGUCGGGUGUGAAAUCUCGGGCUUAACUCCGAAACUGCAUUCGAUACUGCCGUGCUUGAGGACUGGAGAGGAGACUGGAAUUUACGGUGUAGCGGUGAAAUGCGUAGAUAUCGUAAGGAAGACCAGUGGCGAAGGCGGGUCUCUGGACAGUUCCUGACGCUGAGGCACGAAGGUCAGGGGAGCAAACGGGG